rnacentral:misc_RNA from 1 species
UACGUAGGGGGCAAGCGUUAAUCGGAAUUACUGGGCGUAAAGCGGGCGUAGGCGGUUAGUUAAGCUGGAUGUGAAAGCCCAGGGCUCAACCUUGGAACUGCAUUCAGAACUGGCUGGCUAGAGUACGAGGGAGGGUAGUGGAAUUUCCUGUGUAGCGGUGAAAUGCGUAGAUAUAGGAAGGAGCAUCAGUGGCGAAGGCGACUGCCUGGCUCGAUACUGACGCUGAGGUGCGAAAGCGUGGGGAGCAAACAGG